GCCUUCGUGGUGUAGUGGUCAGCACGCUGGGCGCGUAUUCCAGAGGCCCGUGGUUCGAUUCCCGGCGAAGGCG
rnacentral:tRNA from 1 species